rnacentral:rRNA from 1 species
AUCUGGUUGAUAGGUCUAAGCUGUAAGCGUAGCAAUAUGUUUAGGUGAUAGAUACUAAUAGGUCGAGGACUUGACCAAAU